GUUCAGGCUUAUGCAGUUGACUGAUAUGGUUCUAGAUGAGGAUAUCUUUUUAACCAUACGUUUUUGCUUGUGCUCACUUAGGUGCUUUGGACACUGGAAUUCGGAUUCACAGAUUUUUGGACAGGAUAGGAUUGCCGUUGAGUGUCCGCUUGAGCACGGGUCUAAUUGAUAUGCAUGAAAAGUUCGGGAAUUUGGAUUUAGCUAAGAGAAUGUUUGAUGGAAUGCCUCAGAGAUAGUUUGGUGGAAUGUCAUGAGUUCUAGUUUGGCAAUUCAUGGAGAUGGAGAUGGAGAGGGUGUCCUGAAGUUGUUUCUAGAGACGGAGGAGGCUGGGCAUAGGUCUCAAGGUUUUUGUUCCUAUCUGCAAUCACCUUGUUUU
rnacentral:misc_RNA from 1 species